AAAUUGAAGAGUUUGAUCAUGGCUCAGAUUGAACGCUGGCGGCAGGCCUAACACAUGCAAGUCGGGCGGUAACACAGGGAGCUUGCUCCCGGGUGACGAGCGGCGGACGGGUGAGUAAUGUCUGGGAAACUGCCUGAUGGAGGGGGAUAACUACUGGAAACGGUAGCUAAUACCGCAUAACGUCGCAAGACCAAAGAGGGGGACCUUCGGGCCUCUUGCCAUCAGAUGUGCCCAGAUGGGAUUAGCUAGUAGGUGGGGUAACGGCUCACCUAGGCGACGAUCCCUAGCUGGUCUGAGAGGAUGACCAGCCACACUGGAACUGAGACACGGUCCAGACUCCUACGGGAGGCAGCAGUGGGGAAUAUUGCACAAUGGGCGCAAGCCUGAUGCAGCCAUGCCGCGUGUAUGAAGAAGGCCUUCGGGUUGUAAAGUACUUUCAGCGGGGAGGAAGGUGUUGUGGUUAAUAACCACAGCAAUUGACGUUACCCGCAGAAGAAGCACCGGCUAACUCCGUGCCAGCAGCCGCGGUAAUACGGAGGGUGCAAGCGUUAAUCGGAAUUACUGGGCGUAAAGCGCACGCAGGCGGUCUGUCAAGUCGGAUGUGAAAUCCCCGGGCUCAACCUGGGAACUGCAUUCGAAACUGGCAGGCUAGAGUCUUGUAGAGGGGGGUAGAAUUCCAGGUGUAGCGGUGAAAUGCGUAGAGAUCUGGAGGAAUACCGGUGGCGAAGGCGGCCCCCUGGACAAAGACUGACGCUCAGGUGCGAAAGCGUGGGGAGCAAACAGGAUUAGAUACCCUGGUAGUCCACGCCGUAAACGAUGUCGACUUGGAGGUUGUGCCCUUGAGGCGUGGCUUCCGGAGCUAACGCGUUAAGUCGACCGCCUGGGGAGUACGGCCGCAAGGUUAAAACUCAAAUGAAUUGACGGGGGCCCGCACAAGCGGUGGAGCAUGUGGUUUAAUUCGAUGCAACGCGAAGAACCUUACCUACUCUUGACAUCCAGAGAACUUAGCAGAGAUGCUUUGGUGCCUUCGGGAACUCUGAGACAGGUGCUGCAUGGCUGUCGUCAGCUCGUGUUGUGAAAUGUUGGGUUAAGUCCCGCAACGAGCGCAACCCUUAUCCUUUGUUGCCAGCGGUUCGGCCGGGAACUCAAAGGAGACUGCCAGUGAUAAACUGGAGGAAGGUGGGGAUGACGUCAAGUCAUCAUGGCCCUUACGAGUAGGGCUACACACGUGCUACAAUGGCGCAUACAAAGAGAAGCGACCUCGCGAGAGCAAGCGGACCUCAUAAAGUGCGUCGUAGUCCGGAUUGGAGUCUGCAACUCGACUCCAUGAAGUCGGAAUCGCUAGUAAUCGUAGAUCAGAAUGCUACGGUGAAUACGUUCCCGGGCCUUGUACACACCGCCCGUCACACCAUGGGAGUGGGUUGCAAAAGAAGUAGGUAGCUUAACCUUCGGGAGGGCGCUUACCACUUUGUGAUUCAUGACUGGGGUGAAGUCGUAACAAGGUAACCGUAGGGGAACCUGCGGUUGGAUCACCUCCUUA
rnacentral:rRNA from 1 species